UACGAAGGGUGCAAGCGUUACUCGGAAUUACUGGGCGUAAAGCGUGCGUAGGUGGUGAGUUAAGUCUGUCGUGAAAGCCCCGGGCUCAACCUGGGAAUGGCGAUGGAUACUGGCUCGCUAGAGUGCGGUAGAGGAGAGUGGAAUUCCCGGUGUAGCAGUGAAAUGCGUAGAUAUCAAGUGGAACACCAGUGGCGAAGGCGAGUCUCUGGACAUUUCCUGACGCUGAGGCACGAAAGCCAGGGGAGCAAACGGG
rnacentral:rRNA from 1 species